rnacentral:rRNA from 1 species
GACGAACGCUGGCGGCGUGCUUAACACAUGCAAGUCAAGGGGGCCCAGCAAUGGGCAACCGGCGAACGGGUGCGUAACACGUGAGCAACCUACCGAACUGUGGGGGAUAGCCGGCCUAACGGCCGAGUAAUACCGCAUACGCUCUCAGUGAGGCAUUUCAUUGAGAGGAAACCUACGGGACAGAUCGAGGGGCUCGCGGCCUAUCAGCUAGUUGGCGAGGUAACGGCUCACCAAGGCAACGACGGGUAGCUGGUCUGAGAGGAUGGCCAGCCACAUUGGGACUGAGAUACGGCCCAGACUCCUACGGGAGGCAGCAGUGGGGAAUCUUGCGCAAUGGCCUAACGGCUGACGCAGCGACGCCGCGUGUGGGAUGAAGCUCUUCGGAGUGUAAACCACUGUUGCCCGGGACGAACAGCUCGAUUUCUCGAGCCUGACGGUACCGGUGAGGAAGCACCGGCUAACUCCGUGCCAGCCGCCGCAGUAAG